GAGCAGAGCAAACGAAAGUAACUUUCAACGACCGAAUGAUCAUUCAGACUCUGUUUCUAUUGAGAGAUAAAAGGCUGGUUGAAUGAGCUGCCUGUGAAAGCUACUUCAUCUGCAAGAAAACAGGCGGCUGCACCAGUGACUGUCAGAAGUUUUGUGAUUUCCUCAUAUGAACGUGAAAGGGUCAGUGCUCUAAAAUGAGUCUCUCUGGGGAGAGAGAGGAGGGGGGCCCUGCCUCUAAAAUGAGUCUCUC